UUGCCCUCUGCAAGCUUGUAUUCUUGUCAGU
rnacentral:piRNA from 1 species